rnacentral:rRNA from 1 species
GGGGGGGGGGGGGGGGGGGCGGGGGGGGGGGAGGGCGAGCGGGGGGGCGAGGGGCUGGCUCCUCUGACGUUAGCGGCGGACGGGUGAGUAACACGGGGAGAACCUACCUAUGAGACUGGGAUCACUUCGGGAAACCGGGGCUAAUACCGGAUCAUAGAUUGAACCGCAUGGUUCAAUAUGGAAAGACGGUUUUGCUGUCACUUAUAGAUGGAUCCGCGCCGCAUUAGCUAGUUGGUAAGGUAACGGCUUACCAAGGCAACGAUGCGUAGCCGACCUGAGAGGGUGAUCGGCCACACUGGAACUGAGACACGGUCCAGACUCCUACGGGAGGCAGCAGUAGGGAAUCUUCCGCAAUGGGCGAAAGCCUGACGGAGCAACGCCGCGUGAGUGAUGAAGGUCUUCGGAUCGUAAAACUCUGUUAUUAGGGAAGAACAAAUGUGUAAGUAACUAUGCACGUCUUGACGGUACCUAAUCAGAAAGCCACGGCUAACUACGUG